UGGGGAAUAUUGGACAAUGGGCGAAAGCCUGAUCCAGCAAUGCCGCGUGAGUGAUGAAGGCCUUAGGGUUGUAAAGCUCUUUUACCAGGGAUGAUAAUGACAGUACCUGGAGAAUAAGCUCCGGCUAACUCCGUGCCAGCAGCCGCGGUAAUACGGAGGGAGCUAGCGUUGUUCGGAAUUACUGGGCGUAAAGCGUGCGUAGGCGGUUUCUCAAGUCAGAGGUGAAAGCCCGGGGCUCAACCCCGGAACUGCCUUUGAAACUAGGAGACUAGAAUCUUGGAGAGGUCAGUGGAAUUCCGAGUGUAGAGGUGAAAUUCGUAGAUAUUCGGAAGAACACCAGUGGCGAAGGCGACUGACUGGACAAGUAUUGACGCUGAGGUGCGAAAGCGUGGGGAGCAAACA
rnacentral:rRNA from 1 species